UGGGGAAUAUUGCACAAUGGGCGGAAGCCUGAUGCAGCGACGCCGCGUAGGGGAUGAAGGCCUUCGGGUUGUAAACUCCUUUCGACAGGGACGAAGCUUUUGUGACGGUAGCUGUAUAAGAAGCACCGGCUAACUACGUGCCAGCAGCCGCGGUAAUACGUAGGGUGCGAGCGUUGUCCGGAAUUACUGGGCGUAAAGAGCUCGUAGGUGGUUUGUCGCGUCGUCUGUGAAAUUCCGGGGCUUAACUCCGGGCGUGCAGGCGAUACGGGCUGACUUGAGUGCUGUAGGGGAGACUGGAAUUCCUGGUGUAGCGGUGAAAUGCGCAGAUAUCAGGAGGAACACCGAUGGCGAAGGCAGGUCUCUGGGCAGUAACUGACGCUGAGGAGCGAAAGCAUGGGUAGCGAACAGG
rnacentral:rRNA from 1 species